ACUAUUUUGGCAGAUUAGUGCAAUAAAUUUAGAAUUUAUUUAUGUAAUUGAUAUUACAAAUAGUA
rnacentral:tRNA from 1 species